GUAGGAGUGAGCCUGCUCGCGAUGGCGCCUGGUCAGUCGACUUCUUCGUUGACUGAUACACCGCUAUCGCGAGCAGGCUCACUCCUGC
rnacentral:misc_RNA from 1 species